UACGAAGGGGGCUAGCGUUGUUCGGAAUUACUGGGCGUAAAGCGCACGUAGGCGGAUAUUUAAGUUAGGGGUGAAAUCCCAGGGCUCAACCCUGGAACUGCCUUUAAUACUGGGUAUCUCGAGUCCGAGAGAGGUGAGUGGAAUUCCGAGUGUAGAGGUGAAAUUCGUAGAUAUUCGGAAGAACACCAGUGGCGAAGGCGGCUCACUGGCUCGGUACUGACGCUGAGGUGCGAAAGCGUGGGGAGCAAACAGG
rnacentral:rRNA from 1 species